rnacentral:rRNA from 1 species
GACCAGGUCGUUAAGGGCAUAUGGUGGAUGUCUUGGCGUUGAGAGGCGAUGAAGGACGUAGGAACUUGCGAUAAGUCUAAGGGAGCUGGUAACCGAGCAAUGAUCUUAGAAUCUCCGAAUGGGGAAACCCAAUCUGUACUGCAGAUUACCCAUACCCGAAUGCAUACGGUAUGGGGGCGAACGCAGCGAACUGAAACAUCUCAGUAGCUGUAGGAAAGGAAAGUAAAAACGACUCCGUAAGUAGCGGCGAGCGAAAGCGGAUCAGCCCGGUGUGAAUUUAUGUUUGUAAUACCUUGAAGUACCUGGAAAGGUACACCAGAGAAGGUGAUAGUCCUGUACGGGAACGACAGCAUAUUGAAGCACCCUAGCGAGUAGCACGGAGCUCGUGAAACUCU